UAAUUAGUUUAAACUAAUUUGCAUUCUCUAGCAGCCCUAUCUGGUGACAGAUAGCGGAAAAUCGGGUGAAUUCAAGGAAACCGCAGCACUUCGGGUGGCGGCAACCCUGAUCCAAGUCUGGUGAAAGGCAGUGAUUUUCACAGGUAGCCAGAAAGGAGCAGAGACUACGGAUGAGGAGCCUAACCAAUAAAUCCGACAGCGCCCGACAUCCCAAGCGGAUGAUGAGAUAGUCCACCCCCAACGGAAACGUAGGG
rnacentral:ncRNA from 1 species